rnacentral:rRNA from 1 species
CUCGCGAGAGUAAGCUAAUCUCUUAAAGCCGUCCUCAGUUCGGACUGUAGGCUGCAACUCGCCUACAUGAAGUCGGAAUCGCUAGUAAUCGCGGAUCAGCAUGCCGCGGUGAAUGCGUUCCCGGGUCUUGUACACACCGCCCGUCACACCAUGAGAGUUGGGAAUACCCGAAGCCUGUGAGCUAACUUUUAGAGGCAGCAGUCGAAGGUAGAAUCAAUGAUUGGGGUGAAGUCGUAACAAGGUAUC